rnacentral:rRNA from 1 species
UACGUAGGGGGCAAGCGUUGUUCGGAUUUACUGGGCGUAAAGGGCGCGUAGGCGGCCGCCUAAGUCAGACGUGAAAUCCCUCGGCUCAACCGGGGAACUGCGUCUGAUACUGGGUGGCUUGAAUUCGGGAGAGGGAUGCGGGAAUUCCAGGUGUAGCGGUGAAAUGCGUAGAUAUCUGGAGGAACACCGGUGGCGAAGGCGGCAUCCUGGACCGAGAUUGACGCUGAGGCGCGAAAGCCAGGGGAGCAAACGGG